UAUUGGUAAAUUUGUAAUUGACGGUUGAGUUGAGGUGCUAGUAACAGAAAUAUAUAUUUAUUCUUUGUUUAUUUACAAUGUAUAAUGACAAUAAAAUUAAAUUAAUUCUAUAUAAAGCCCAAGAAAAUGCCUCCUGCCAUCAGAGAUAUUUAAAAAGUCUAGAGGCCUAUUAUAAUCAGGUUCCAUUUGAAGCAUUUGUGGAGGAAUUCUUAAAACUUUUGAAACAUAUUUUUCACAAGUAUAUUACAACACGAAAUCCAUAUGUCGAAAGAACCCUGGAAUUUUUGGCACAAUUUGUAUCUUUCGUGACAAAAUCUAAUGAAAAUGAUACUACUUCACAAGAUGAAGAUUCCUCAUCACAUCCUUUUUUAACAGAAGUUAUAGUUGAAACUUUAAAAUUUCAUGAUUUGAUAUAUGAACAAGCACGUUAUUACUCUUGUCGGUUUGUAACUUUAAUUCUUCAGCAUGUUGGUAAUGAAAUACAUCUGGAUAACUUUAUGUGUGAUGCUAUCCAAGAAGCAAUGUUACAGCGUAUCAUGGAUCCAAAAAUAUCAAUUCGUCUUCAAGCUGUAAUGGCUUUAGUAAGAUUACAAGAACCCUCAAAUACAGAAUGCCCUGUUGUAAAAGCGUACAUCUCUUUAUUGGUAGAGGCAAAUCCAUUGAUCAGAAAAGAAGUUGUAAAAAGAAUAGCUCCGAAUUCUGUAACUAUAUCAAAAAUAAGUGAACGCAUUCGAGAUGUUGACGGUCAUGUACGUGUGGCCGCAUACUCGCGUUGUGCGGAUAUUGGCCCACGGUUAUUUAAAAUUAUUACAAGACAACAGAUUUUACAGUGUGGAUUUAAUGAUGACAGUGAACAAGUUAGAACAGUUUUUUUAGAAAAAUUAUUUCCAAAAUGGCUUAGCGCCUAUAAUGAUAAUUUCCUUGAAUUUCUUAGGAGCUUAAAACUUGAUGCAGACGAAAAUGAUAUUAUAAAUACUCAGAAAAUUAGUGAAAAGGUCAUGGAAGUUUUUUUUAGCAUUUCUACUAUUAAAAACAUAAUUGACGUGUUGCCUAUACAUAAUGAGAAGUUAGUACCACUGAACAAUUUGACUAGUGAGGUUGUGGCAUAUUGGUGUAUUGUUACGAGAUUUUUAAGAAAUUGUCCCGAAACAGAGGAUUAUCUGGAUAGUAUCCUACCUGAGUUAACUCCAUUUUGUUGCUAUAUAGAAAGAAUUAUUAAUUUCAAGACAUCCAGGACAUUGGAAGAAUGGGAAUACAUGGAGUAUCAGUAUAUUUUAUAUAAUUUGUUGGAUAUAGCCGAACAUUAUGACUUUUCAGACGAGAUUGGCAGAAAAACUUUAUACAAACUUAUUACGACUAUUUUGCAAAAUCACAAGUUACUGUUCAAAGUGGCAAAGAAAAUUGUUGGUAUAUUAGAUAAAUUAAUUUCUAAUGUGGAUAGGCUUACCCAUGAAAUAUGCCAAAUUAUAUCUGACAUUAGAGAACCACUCGUAGAUAAACCGACAACUCGCUGUGGAAAUACAAAUAGAGAGUUUCAGGUGGCAGAAUUGAAAGUGAAAAUAAAUAUUUUACAAGGAGAAAUAGAGGAUGCUUUAAAUAUCCAAGACUUCCAAAAGGCGGCCGUUAUUCAAAGCGAAAUUGUGGAAUAUAGGGGGAAAUUGGAUGACAUCCAAAAAGAGAGUCAAAUUGUCAAAGUAAAAAUUUCAAAAGAUGAUCCAGAAACCAUUUCUCGGUGCUUAGACUUGCUUAGUGCUUUAAUGGAACUGUCAAGUGUAAAAAUGUUAUCUCCAUCUUUGGCCACAUGUAGGACUGAAUUUCUAUUACCUUUACUGUCUAGUAAUAAUGUUGAAAUUAAUUGGAGAGUUUUGAAAUGUAUCGCCUUGUAUUGUAUACUCGACAAAAAUAUAGCAGCGGAACAUGCUAGAGUGCUGUGUAUUCCGAUUAUUACAUAUCGAGCAAUACCAAAUUAUAACAAAUUUGCUUUGAUGCAAUCAGUGGCUACUAUUUGCGAUCUGGUGCGUAUUUAUGGGCCUGAACUAUUUGGUAGUGAGAAAGAUACCAACAGUUCGUCAUCAACAUUACAUAAUGCAACGAAAAGGAGGCUGUAUAGAAAUGAAACUGUGGAUGAUGUAAAUGUCAUGGAUAACGACAGAUUGAAUGUGGACGUUAUUAUUGAAAUCAUAUUGGACAUGCUAGAUGACGAGAAUGCAGAUAUUCGAGAAAUUGCUGUAACUGCUCUUUCUAAGUUAAUCCUUAAUGAAUUUCCUGUUAAUUCAUCCUUAAUUUGUAGAAUUAUAUUAAAAUGGUUCAAUCCAUUAGAGAAAUCUGUUGACAAAAGUCAACAGAAGCUGGGAUUUCUUAUAAGCAAUUUUACCAAAUUGAUAAAAGGUGCUAGAGAAGUUAUUGAAAAAGCAGUAGUGCCAAUUAUAUCGAGUAUAGCAAAUGCUCCAAGGACAAGUCCCCUUGCAGAUGUAGAAAUAGAUAAUGUUAUACAAUUCCUUUCGGCACUAACUAAUUCUAAUGGCACAACGGAGGUAGUCCACAUUCACACCGACCUAGCUAACCUGCUUUGCUACAAUAUCGCAAAUAAACCUAAAGAUCUCACUGUACCAUAUUUAACAAAAAUAUUGUUACAUCUGGAAAUACCACCUGAGAAGACAGUUGCAAUUAGAGAAUUAUUGACACAAGUUGAGCUGCUUCUAGAAGACAAGGAGGAUGAUAUAGAUAAAGGACCCAAAAAAAAUUUAAAGAAAUUUGCUGAAAAGUUGAGAGCUGCACUAAAAUACCAAACUGGCAAGAACCCAACUGAAAACGAAGUCGAACAGCAGAAUAAUUUACUGGCACAAAAUAAAAGUUUUCAGAAUACAAAUGAGAAGACACAGGAAACACAGCAAGUGAAUGUUCAUAUAUUAAAUAAAAGUCGAGAAAAUAGUGCAAAAAAUACAUCAGCAGCAAUAAGCAGAAAUGAUGAUAAAACAUUUGUUGAUAGUACUUGCAGUAUAGAAGGUGGAAAAUCUGAAAGACUUUUCUCUUCUCGGUUAAAAACCAUAGAAAGGCGAAAGGCAAAAGAUGGUAAAAACAGGAUAAAUAAAAAAAAUGUACAAAAUGAUGCAUAUCCUAACAAAGAUGUUACAAAAAAAAUAGAUAAAUUAAGUAACACUGCAUUUAAUCAGGAAAGCAAUAAUAAAUCUAGAAAUAAUCUAGAGAUUCUGAGAAAAGAAACUAAUACUAAUAAAAAUGAAAACGGAGGGUUUCAAAGUGUAAAACACACUAACAAGAAAAGGGGGGAUGUUAAAAAUUGUGAACCUAAAAGCAAAAAGGGUGUAACAGAUGUAGAGAGUGAUUCAGCAGUAACAGACAAUGAAGCAGAUGGUCGAAAAAUACUCAGAAGAUCCAAGAGGCAAAAAACAUAUUUGAAAUCGACCGAUUCAAAAAAACAAAAAGUAUCAGAAGUAAAUAGAACUCAAAAUUUAACAGUAGACAGUGAUCAAGAUAAAGUAUCAAAUACAAAUUCCAACAAUUUAGGAAGUACUGCAUGCACGUUAUUGAGAAAUAAUUUUCCUGACAAGAGUUUAGUAGAGGGUGUUCAUGGAGUGAAGAGAAAGAAAUUGAGAAGGAGAAAGGGACAAAAUUCUCUUGAAUCAGAAGAAAAGAAGUUACAGAAUUCAAUAGCAUCGGAAGAAACCAUCUUGUACACAAUUAUGGAUAAUAGUAAACAAGCAAGUGAAUUAACAAAUGAAACUUCUGAGAGCAAAUCAUCGGAAUAUUCAAGUUACAGUAUUGACCGUACUCAAAGAAAUAACAUUAUUUCCGAAACAUCUUCUGAAUCAGAAUUUCCUCAAGUACUACAGCAGAUGCCUCGAGAAAAAUUUAUUUAGUACCUAGACGGAUUACGAACAAAUCUCCGGGAUGAUGCUCUAAUGUGACAAUAGCAAUGACAAUCGUGAAGCUACUGAAAAAUCUAAGGACAUUGUACCGUGGCGGAAAUCAAGGUCCAUACUGUACUGGAGACUGAGGAGGCAUCUGCUUGAGGACAGGGUAAUCAAGGGCCUCAUGGAUGCCCAACCCGAGUUGGCGCUGGGCCAGGGCGAGGCCAUGCUUAGGAGGUGGUUCAUCGAGGACAAGGGCGCCGCAGAGGUAACCAAAUCUGUGUUGUACAAUAAUUUUUUUUUUCUUUCCAACAUUCUUUGAGAUAAAUCUAUCGGGGAGUUAUCGAAAAUACGGUGCGGUUCGGACUGGGUGAUUUUUGCUCUAUUAGAGAUCUUUGAAAAGGUCUGGCGUAUAUUUUGUUAGUUUUAAGAAAACCAAAUUUUCCAAUUUUCUGUUAUA